rnacentral:lncRNA from 1 species
UUCACUGGUUCAGUUCUGCAUAAAUUCAGCAGCUGAUUCAUGCUGGAUACUGUACAAUGCCCCAGGGAUGUAAAGAUCACGAGACUGAGUCCCUGGCCCCAGAAGCUCCCAAGAUGGCCAGAGAGGACAGACUCAGAAGUGGAAAAUGUCCAUGGAUUCAUUAAGUACAUGGAGACAAAAAGGAGAGAUAUCCAACCCAGCCACUGGUGGCUCAGAGAAGGCUUCAGGAAGAGGGAGUCUUCUGAGAAUUGAGUCCUAAAGGACAAGUAGAACUUGACCUGGUGAAUAAAGAAGAAAGUCUUCUCAGGCAGAGGAAACAGCAAGUGUAAAAUCACAGAAUCAUGAAACAGCACAGCAUCUGUAUACGAGUGUGCAUGUGUCUGUAUGCGUGUAUGCAUGUGUAUAUAUGAGAGGCGCGGGAUGGAGUUAUUAUAACCAGUUGUAUAUCUCUGGGUUCUAAGUGGAGGGGCAGGGAAGGUGAAAAGCAAGCAAUGGUAGUAUAUGAGGCUAAAGAGGUAAGUAAGGGCUAAAUGAGGGGCCUUGAAUUCUAAGCUGAGGAGCUUGGAGCUAGUAACAUAGAACAGAGGUUGGCAAACUAUAACCAGGAGCCAAAUCUGACCCACUACUUGUUUUGUCAAUAAAAUUUUAUUGGAACAUAGCCAUACUCACUCAUUUAUGUAUUGUCUAUGGCUGUUGUUGCCCAACAAUGGCAAAGUUAAGUAGCUACUACAGAGACCAUACAAUCCAUGCCUUCACGACCUCCAGCGUAGAAGAUGAUGAGCCAUUGAAGCCUUCUGAGCAGAAGGUAGAGAUGAUUCUGUGUGUGACAGGAAAGUCACCCUGACAUAGUCUUGGUCCCUGCUGUGGAAUGGAGACAACUUAUUUUCCUUAUAUGCCACAGAAGUAUUAUUGAGGGCCUUCUCGAGUCGAGCACCGUAUUUCUUGAGCCCAGGACUAUAGUGAGCCCUUCUCCACACCUGUAGAGACUGACUGACAUAAUGUAUGUGACCAGUGAUGUAAUUGGACCCCAGGAGACUGAACAGAAAUUGAACUGAGGUGGAAUCUGCCACCCUUGGGAUGCUGUUCUCCAACACGUAGGUUGAAGUUAUGGAGCUAAAUGUAACACACUGUUUCCUCUUUUGAGCUUGGAAGCCAAUUAGUAGAAAAUCCUAGGAAUCAAAUAAAUAGAAAUAAAAAUAUUGCCUUUAUUGUUAGUAUUUCACUUCUGAAUAAGACAAACUUACCACCUCAAGGACACUGGCUGGGCUGACUGACUUCAGACUUCUCCCUGUGAAGACUUGUUCCUGAAUGUUCACUUCUGCAAACAAACUGUGACAGAGAGAGAAGACAGACUGAGCUCCUUCUCAAAGCACAUCAACAAGGGCACUUGAAUGUCAAAGCACAAUGUUUGGAGACAUGGGCCUCUCGACUGGACUUCAUGGUCAGUGGAAUGCAUAUCGUAUGCAAUGAGACUGAUGGAAAGGGCAGAUCAGAGAUAAUGUACCGGAAGAGGUCAAUGACAGCAUCAUGAAUCCAAGAAGCUUUGAAUCUCAAACAACCUAGAUGGGAGUGGAGUUGAUGUAGUCUAGACAUUUUCCUUGGAUGACUCACAAAGUAAAUCUAGUGACGACCAAAAAGAGACAUCAAGGAGGAAUUCUGGAAUUCUCUGCACUGAAGAAGAGAGAAUGUCAGGCUCUCCCAAGACGGAGGAGAUGGUGUGUCACUACACUGCUGAAUCACACACAUGAAAAACAAGCCCUCCAACCAUGUAGUAAUUACAAACACAUUGCAUGACAGUGUUCGUCAGCUCCAGCAAGUAGUCUUCGGAGAAGCAAAAUCCAGAAACUCUUCCACGGUUACAACAGGAAAGUAUUUCAGUGGUUUAAGUCACAAAUCUAAGGAAUGUAAAUGGCCAGACUAUUUAAAUUUCUAGACAGAGGAGAUUUGUAAUCAGUAAAUUUCUUACCCUCAGUUCCUCCUAGGGGCCCUCAUUUGUGUUAAUAUAAUUCUCAAUAGUAAGUCCCUUACCACUGAUAAUAUUUUCAGCAAUGCACGGCACCAACUCUAGGCUAUAAUGCAGCAGUACAAUUGGAGACGGGUACAAUCUGACCACAGAACACUGGAACAUCUCUUAAAAAUUCCAAAACAAGUUUUAAAAAACAAAUUGGAAAUUUUUCCUCUUAAAGGAUGAAGUGUCGCCACUUGGAAAGAAGCUCUGUUGACAGUAUGUUAUUACAAACAUAUUUAGCCUUCUUGGAGUAAAGCGACUGAAAAAUGAAACAAUCUGGUUAAAUCAUUAAUUCUGCAACUGUUCAGCCCACAAAAGCAAUGUUCCAACUUAAGAAUAAGUUAACAUUUAUUGAGCACAAACGAUGUACCAGGCGUUGUGGUAAGUUCUAUAGGUUGGCUGAAAAAUCUAUCAGACAUAAUUCCUGCUAUGUCAAUCUCAAGGAUACACAAUUUAAUAAUGAAAAUGAGAUGUACCUAAAGAACAAAAACAGAGGUCAGGCCAUGGUGAGGAUUCAUCUUUUUUGGGUCAAAACCUUUUCAGAUGUGAUGAAAGCCAUAGGCUCCCUCACCAGAAAAAUGCACAUACACAUACACACACUCUGAUGCUUUUGCUUGCGAUUUAAUUCUGUGUGUGGAUUUGGG